rnacentral:lncRNA from 1 species
AAAGCCAAUAAAAACAUAUGAAUAAAAACCCAAACCCACAAAGUCCACAAAUAAAAACCCAAAAAUCCAAAAUCCACAAAGUCCACAAAUAAAGAUCCAAAACCCAAAGUCCACAAAGUCCACGAAUAAAGAUCCAAAACCGAAAGUUCACAAAUAAAAAUCCAAAAUCCAAAGUCUACAAAUAAAACCCAACCAAAUUUAUCAAACCUAUGUCACCCAAAUACCUCCAAUCCAAACCAAAUUCAUGGGUUUCCCAAAUGGGCCCCUCAUUAUGAAUUAAUUCUAUAAAUUAGUUUUUUGGGCUUUCCAAAUGUAUUCCCUAUCACGAAUUAAUUCUAUAAAUUAGUUUCAUGGGUUCUCUUUGCCAUAAAUUAAUAUUAUGAACCAAUGGGCUCUCCAAAUGGCCCCUAUCAUGAAUUAAUUUCAUCAAAUAACUUGGUGGACUUUACAAAUGGUCCCUACCAUGAAUUAAUUUCAUCAAAUAACUUGGUGGACUUUACAAAUGGUCCAUACCAUGAAUUAAUUUCAUCAAAUAACUUGGUGGACUUUACAAAUGGGCUCCUAGCAUUAUUUAAUUUCAUGAAUCAGUUUCAUGAAUACCUCGAUUUCAAUCGACCGAAAAGUCGUUAAACUAAACCCAAAUUCAAACGACCGAAAUGUCGCUAAACUAAACCCAUAUUCAAACGACCGAAAAGUCGUUAAACUAAACCCAAACCUGAAUGACCGAAAAGUCGUUAAACUAAACCCAAAUUCUUUAAACUAUAAACCAAAUCCAUACACCAAGUUCAUGAACCAUAUCCAAGUUCAUGAACCAAAUCCAUACACCGAGCCCAUGAACUAUAUCCAAGUUCAUGAAUCAAAUCCAUACACCAAACCCAUGAACCAUAUCCAAGUUCAUAAACCAAAUCCAUACACCAAACCCAUGAUCCAUAUCCAAGUUCAUGAACCAAAUCCAUAUGCCAAAUCCAUGAACCAUAUCCAAGUUCAUGAACCAAAUCCAUACACCGAAUUCAUGAACCAUAUCCAAGUUCAUGAACCAAAUCCAUAUACCAAAUCCAUGAACCAUAUCCAAGUUCAUGAACCAAGUUCAUACACCAAAUUCAUGAACCAUAUCCAAAUUCAUGAACCAAAUCUCAUGAGCCAAUACUCAAAUCUCAUGAACCAAUACCCAAAUCUCAUCGUGAACCUUUUUUUACUCUGGCACAUAUACCUAGAGUAAAAAUUAAAUAUCGACUACCCCUAAUACAUAUACUUAGGGCUAAGUCAAUCACCUUAGCACAUAUAACUAAGGCAAAAUAUCUCCAAAUCAACAGAGUUCUAAGUUAUAUACUUAGAAUUCAGUCAAAUGAUAUUCUGACUCUAAUAUAUAUACUUAGAGUUCAUCCGACUAACCCUAACACAUAUACUUAUGGUCUAGUCAGCCUUUUGCUCUAGCAUAUAUACCUAGAAUGGAAGUCAAACCAUGCCUGACUAACCCUAACACAUAUGCUUAGGGUCUAGUCAGUCUUUUACUCUAGCACA